rnacentral:rRNA from 1 species
GACGAACGCUGGCGGCGUGCCUAAUACAUGCAAGUAGAACGCUGAAGGAGGAGCUUGCUUCUCUGGAUGAGUUGCGAACGGGUGAGUAACGCGUAGGUAACCUGCCUGGUAGCGGGGGAUAACUAUUGGAAACGAUAGCUAAUACCGCAUAAGAGUAGAUGUUGCAUGACAUUUGCUUAAAAGGUGCAAUUGCAUCACUACCAGAUGGACCUGCGUUGUAUUAGCUAGUUGGUGAGGUAACGGCUCACCAAGGCGACGAUACAUAGCCGACCUGAGAGGGUGAUCGGCCACACUGGGACUGAGACACGGCCCAGACUCCUACGGGAGGCAGCAGUAGGGAAUCUUCGGCAAUGGACGGAAGUCUGACCGAGCAACGCCGCGUGAGUGAAGAAGGGUUUCGGAUCGUAAAGCUCUGUUGUAAGAGAAGAACGAGUGUGAGAGUGGAAAGUUCACACUGUGACGGUAGCUUACCAGAAAGGGACGGCUAACUACGUG